rnacentral:piRNA from 1 species
ACUGUCGGAAGAGAAGACAAAUG